UACGUAGGGGGCUAGCGUUGUCCGGAAUCAUUGGGCGUAAAGAGCGCGUAGGCGGCCAGAUAAGUCCGGUGUGAAAGUCACAGGCUCAACCUGUGAAUGCCGCUGGAAACUGUCUGGCUAGAGUCCGGGAGGGGCGAGUGGAAUUCCUGGUGUAGCGGUGAAAUGCGUAGAUAUCAGGAGGAACACCGGUGGCGAAGGCGGCCCUCUGGACGGUGACUGACGCUGAGACGCGAAAGCGUGGGGAGCAAACAGG
rnacentral:rRNA from 1 species